rnacentral:misc_RNA from 1 species
AAGUCGUAACAAGGUUUCCGUAGGUGAACCUGCGGAAGGAUCAUUAAAAAAUCGCCCGAGCCGCAAGGCUCUAUUAUUUUGUGAAACGUCUGUGGUGUGGCUGUUGCGGCGUGCGCAGGUGGUUUGUCCGCCGGCGCUGCUGCAGCACCCUGCCAUACAACCCUUUAAACAUAUGUCUUUGAUGCGAGGAAAUAUAUUUCUAAUAUAUAUACAACUUUCAACAGUGGAUCUCUCGGCUCUU